UGGGGAAUUUUGGACAAUGGGCGCAAGCCUGAUCCAGCCAUGCCGCGUGAGUGAAGAAGGCCUUCGGGUUGUAAAGCUCUUUCGGCGGGGACGAAACGGUCCGUGCUAACACCACGGACUAAUGACGGUACCCGCAGAAGAAGCACCGGCUAACUACGUGCCAGCAGCCGCGGUAAUACGUAGGGUGCAGGCGUUAAUCGGAAUUACUGGGCGUAAAGCGUGCGUAGGCGGUUUGUUAAGACAGGUGUGAAAUCCCCGGGCUUAACCUGGGAACUGCGCUUGUUACUGGCAGACUGGAGUGUGGCAGAGGGGGGUGGAAUUCCAGGUGUAGCAGUGAAAUGCGUAGAUAUCUGGAGGAACACCGAUGGCGAAGGCAGCCCCCUGGGCUAACACUGACGCUGAUGCACGAAAGCGUGGGGAGCAAACAGG
rnacentral:rRNA from 1 species